rnacentral:tRNA from 1 species
CGGGGCAUGGUGUAAUGGCUAACAUACACGCUUCGGGUGCGUGUGAUUCUGGGUUCGACUCCCAGUGCCCCGACCA